rnacentral:misc_RNA from 1 species
CAAGUGACCCCGGUCUAACCACCGGGAUGUUCAUAACCCUUUGUUGUCCGACUCUGUUGCCUCCGGGGCAACCCUGCCUUCGGGCGGGGGCUCCGGGUGGACACUUCAAACUCUUGCGUAACUUUGCAGUCUGAGUAAACUUAAUUAAUAAAUUA